AUUAUAUUAACUAUUCCCACUGAAUACUUGAACCGGAUGAUAGUUUGUUCGCUAAAGCUUGGAAUGUCAUUGGGGGCAACCCCAUUGUUGUGCCUACCCCCAUCCCAAUCCCUUCCCUGAACACCACCCUGAACCCCAUUACCUAUACCGACCCUUUUUUCCCCAUACCUUUAUAAAACUUAAUAAAAUACUUAUUAAAAAAACUGGAUUUAAAAAUGGCCAAAAUGAAGAACAAUUUUCACUGGACUGAACAACUGACUGAAGUUGAUUUGAAUGUGGACUUCAAAAUGACACAUUAUAAGAAUGAUAUAGGAGUGACUUGGAUAAUUGUCUUAUUUUGGAUUUACAAAAGAAAAAUGUUAAAGUUUGGAAAGAGUUUCUGAGAAGAGACAAAGAAAAAAAUGAAAGGAAAUCGAGUUCUGGGACAUUGUUUAAAGGGAUUAAAGAUGAAGAAUGUUGAAAGCAAAGGUUAGGAAAAAAAAGUCACAAUUUGGUUACAACUUCCAGAGGUCUUUGGUGGCCAUUCCCAAGUCCCAAGGAAGCUGUUUACAGCCCCAGGGUGUCUGAUUGUGCACCUACUCUUUAGAUCAGUGGAUAAGCCUGGAAAUAGGAGAUGUGGCCAAGAAAGGGAUCAGCUAUUUGAACAUAAAUCAUGGUUAUUCUCCUGUGGCCUGCAACAUGGGACAAAUUAUCCUGUAGAUCUGCUGUACGCAUCAUAACAAACUGGUUUCGAAUUAUGCAUGUCUUCACUCCAAUUAUGAACAAAGUAUGCUCUUCCCAGAACAUUCUGUUCUAGGCAUUCAAGAUGCAUGCUGCUUCUGUGGAUAUUCCCUUGUUCCCUUUUUAGGGGAUUUUCUUUGAAAAGAGAAGGACAAGUUUGACUGAACUUUUUAUAACAUUCAAUAAAUGAAUCAGAGCAAUUAAAAGUGUACUUGUGCUUUUCCUAUGCUAUUAUAUGAAAAAUGUCAAAUAUCAAAUGGACAGUUUCCUCUGAUAAAGUUUUGA